rnacentral:tRNA from 1 species
GGGGAUUUGGCUCAGUGGUAGAGCACUUGCCUAGCAAGUGCAAGGCCCUGGGUUCGGUCCCCAGCUCUGAAAAAAAGAAAAAAGAAAAAAAAAAGAAGUCCUGAGUUCAAUUCCCA